rnacentral:misc_RNA from 1 species
AACGGUCUAUACCUGCGGUACCUGCGGAAGGAUCAUUACCGAGUUUACAAAACUCCCAAACCCUUUGUGAACCUUACCUAUCGUUGCUUCGGCGGGACCGCCCCGGCGCCCUCGCGGCCCGGAACCAGGCGCCCGCCGGAGGCCCCAAACCCUCAUGUCUUUAGUGGUUUCCUCCUCUGAGUGACAUAAACAAAUAAAGUAAAAACUUUCAACAAUGGAUCUCUAGAUCGGAAGAGCACA